CCCAGGGCUGGCGCCCUGGGCUACUCUCUUUCGCCCCCGCCGGGGCU
rnacentral:sRNA from 1 species